rnacentral:tRNA from 1 species
GCCGGCAUGGCGGAACUGGCAGACGCCCGGGACUUAAAAUCCCGUGAUCAGCAAUGAUCGUGUGGGUCCGAUUCCCACUGCCGGCA